UCUUUCAAGCCUAAAAUUUUUGAGGUUAUCAUGAACUGUCAUCUAAAUGAUAUUUUUUUUAUGAUAUGUUCUGAAACUUUCGGUUUAUCCCAGAGAUUGUCUGUUGAAUGUGAAGGAGUUUUAAGAGUACCACGAUGGUGUUAUAAUUUUUGUAUUGCUUCUUGCAGCAUAAACAUGAGUUGUGUUGAUGCUGGGUGCUUGUCAUCCAGCAAGGAAGGCAUAAGAUUCUUCAGUUUUCCAAGGGAUCCAGCACGGGCUGCGGUAUGGGCAGGAAAAGUUGGAAUAUCCUGCACUAUUGAUUCUGCUAGAAGGCUGCACAAUAAAUAUUUGUGUAGCAAACAUUUCCUGGAAAGUGAUUUCACUACACAUUGCACAAAGCCACAACACUGUAUUGGCUACAGGUAAGGACCACUGCACUCUAUACUAUGAAUUAUGUUCUGUUAUGAGAGAAGUGGCUAGCGAGAAUAAUGAUUGGUGAUCACCUUGUGAACACAUUUGAAGCUAUUUGUUCGUAGUCUGGUUUGAACAAUAAUCCAACUGUGGGACAGUUUGUAGAUGCCCUGAAGACUAACAUCAUCAGUGCACUUGCUAUCAGAGGUCUGUGUGGAACUAGUUGUGAG